rnacentral:tRNA from 1 species
GGAGAAAUACCCAAGUGGUGAAGGGGACAGUUUGCUAAACUGUUAGGUCUCGUAAGGGGCGCGAGGGUUCGAACCCCUCUUUCUCCGCCA